rnacentral:tRNA from 1 species
GUGGCUAUAGUUUAAUAAAAACAUUAGAUUGUGAAUCUAAUAAUAGAAACUCGUAACUUCUUAGCCACC